GGGUUGCUAACUCAACGGUAGAGUACUCGGCUUUUAAGUCCCGGGCAACCCAUUUCCAUACGGAAAAUAUGA
rnacentral:tRNA from 1 species